GCGCCGGUGGUGUAAGGCGAACAUCGCUGCCCGGAAAGCAGAAGAUACGGGUUCGAGUCCCGCCUGGCGCA
rfam:Heligmosomoides polygyrus genome assembly, scaffold: HPBE_scaffold0000850